AAGGCUGUUCUGCUCUUAUGAAAAGAUGUAUUAAAAUGCAGUCAUUAACUGGUGCAAUGUUCUAGAAUUGGCCCUGACCUACUGGGAAUUUGGGUUAAGUUUCUCUGAGGCUAUAACAAAACUAUACAUCCUCAUGGGAAGCGGGAAAAGAGGAGGACUUGGAGCUGCGGGGCGUGGAUCUUCGUAGCAGAGUGGAGUGGAGAUGGGAGAAGAAAUGUCUUCCACGUCAUUAUUUUGAUGGAAGAUCACUUGGCUUGUGGAAAUCAUGCUGUGAUCAGCUCUGCGGAGAAGCCCACGUGGAGAGAAGCCUCUUGCCAACGCCAUGUGAGUGAGCCUGGACGUGGAUCCUCCAGACCUUGUCAAGAACUCAGAAACUGCAGGCCCAGCCAACAGCUUGAUCGCAACCUCGUAAGAGACCCUGAGCCAGAACUCCCAGCUAAGUCAUUCCCAGCUCCCCAGCCCACAGAAAGAGGGAGAGGUUCACCCUGAAAUCCUGUCUGCAGGGAGAUUUGGAGGACUCUGUCCAGC